GGAGUUGGUAUCUCAGCGGUAGAGUGCAUGCUUUGUAUGUGUGAUAUUCUCGGUUCAAUCCCCAGCUUCUCCU
rnacentral:tRNA from 1 species